rfam:Trichobilharzia regenti genome assembly, scaffold: TRE_scaffold0028719
GUACUGUUGAAGAGUCCCAAACUAGGACGAAACAAUUGUCCAGUAC